rnacentral:lncRNA from 1 species
CGCACGACCAAAUCAGGUCUCAUAUUGGCUAAGAGGCCCGUAGUAAGACCUGGAUGUUCCCGUAAUUGGGUCAAAUUGGUCCUUCACAUGAGGCUCACUCAGUCAUCGAUUUAGUCCUUUUGAUUUUGUUGACUCCCACUAUUGGACUCGAACGGAGCAUUUUGUUACUAGUAAGUAUGCCCUGACCGACUGUGACGGGGUGUCUGAAACUAGCCCCUGAAUAUUGGCACUGGAAUCGAUCGUUGCUCCCAAUAUUCGAGAUAACUGAACAUUAAUAAAAGUCUCCUUUCUUUAUAUUUUUACGGUAUACUCGUGUUACAAUACAACACUACUCAAAACACAUAAUUUCCAUCCAACACCAUAAAUAACAGACUUCACUCCAAUCAAUUUGAAUUCAUAGAAUUUCUAUAAUCACCAACUUUUUUGUCCAAAAUACACACAACUCUCAACAAACAACAAUCAUAAUCUUCCAAUAACUCCUCAUAUAAUUCAAUCAUUCAAUACUCCAAUUACAUAAUCAAUAAUUCAUAAAUCAAUUUUUGAUUUAUUCCACAGACUCACUUCUCAAUAUUCAGAAACUAUCCAUUACUCUUCAACAACAAAGAAAACAAAGAAAUAAAGAGGUAGCACCAAGCUUACUCGGGUUCAUGACUAUCACAGUCUGGCACCCAACAAACUUCUACAACUCCUAUAUAACUGCUCAUGAUUCCCAGAUUCUAAUCGUAAUUUUGUAAUUAACUGCUUUUAAUAACUAAAUCAAUCAUCCAUCUUCCUGAACUGAUUAUUCUAUGGACUAUUAGUCUAUUUUAUCAAUAUCUUACAUAAACGAACUAAUAUCUAUUCUACAUAGCCCCACU